UCCAGUCGGUCUUCCUCCGGCCCGGGCCCUGGCCUAGCUAGCCAGCCAUGGAGGUGAAGAAAAUAUUUGGAAGCUCUGUGAAUACAUCAAAAACCAUGACCAGUAUCCUUUAGAAGAAUGUUAUGCUGUCUUCAUAUCUAAUGAGAGGAAGAUGAUACCUAUCUGGAAACAACAGGCGAGACCUGGAGAUGGACCUGUGAUCUGGGAUUACCAUGUUGUUUUGCUUCAUGUUUCAAGUGGAGGACAGAGCUUCAUUUAUGAUCUCGAUACUGUCUUGCCAUUUCCCUGCCUCUUUGACACUUAUGUAGAAGAUGCCUUUAAGUCUGAUGAUGACAUUCACCCACAGUUUAGGAGGAAAUUUAGAGUGAUCCGUGCAGAUUCAUAUUUGAAGAACUUUGCUUCUGACCGAUCUCACAUGAAAGACUCCAGUGGGAAUUGGAGAGAGCCUCCGCCGCCGUAUCCCUGCAUUGAGACUGGAGAUUCCAAAAUGAACCUGAACGAUUUCAUCAGUAUGGAUCCCAAGAUGAAAUGGUGAUGACUGGAGUGACCUCGGAAGCUACUUAUCAAAGGCAGAAGAGCCACCAUCAGCCUGGAUUCCUGAUGACUCUAUGGAGCCGAGUUGCAUGCCUGCCUAAAUAGUAUAUUGUGGAACUCUUUCAUAGGAGACAAACUUAUGUAUUUUUUAAGUCACAGAAUUCUUGUCUGUUGCCCAGGCUGGAGUGCAGUUGCAUGAUCCUGGCUCACUGCAAGCUCCGCCUCCUGGGUUCAAGUGAUCCUCAGCCUCCCUCAGCUGGAAUUACAGGCAUGCACCAACAUGCCUGGCUAAUUUUUGUAUUUUUAGUGACAUGGGGUU
rnacentral:sRNA from 1 species